CGUAGGGUGCGAGCGUUGUCCGGAAUUAUUGGGCGUAAAGGGCUCGUAGGCGGUUUGUCGCGUCGGGAGUGAAAACCCAGGGCUCAACCCUGGGCUGGCUUUCGAUACGGGCAGACUAGAGGUAUGCAGGGGAGAACGGAAUUCCUGGUGUAGCGGUGAAAUGCGCAGAUAUCAGGAGGAACACCGGUGGCGAAGGCGGUUCUCUGGGCAUUACCUGACGCUGAGGAGCGAAAGUGUGGGGAGCGAACAGGAUUAGAUACCCUGGUAGUCCACGCCGUAAACGUUGGGCGCUAGGUGUGGGGUCCAUUCCACGGAUUCCGUGCCGCAGCUAACGCAUUAAGCGCCCCGCCUGGGGAGUACGGCCGCAAGGCUA
rnacentral:rRNA from 1 species